AAAAUCCGCACAUCAUGUGCCUGAGAGCUGAUGGGGAGCCGAUUGAGGCGAAGUGAAUGAUCCUAUGCUGCCAAGAAAAGCCUCUAGCGAGAACCAGAGCCGCCCGUACCCCAAACCAACACAGGUGGUCAGGUAGAGAAUACUAAGGCGAUCGAGAUAACUAUGGUUAAGGAACUCGGCAAAAUGCCCCCGUAACUUCGGGAGAAGGGGGGCCAGGUUUGGUGAUGGGACUUGCUCCCUGAGCUGGGCGUGGCCGCAGAGACCAGGCGGAAGCGACUGUUUACUAAAAACACAGGUCCAUGCAAAGUCGCAAGACGACGUAUAUGGACUGACGCCUGCCCGGUGCUGGAACGUUAAGGGGACCGGUUAGGCCUUCGGGCCGAAGCUGAGAACUUAAGCGCCAGUAAACGGCGGUGGUAACUAUAACCAUCCUAAGGUAGCGAAAUUCCUUGUCGGGUAAGUUCCGACCUGCACGAAUGGCGUAACGACUUCCGCGCUGUCUCAACCGUAGACUCGGCGAAAUUGCACUACGAGUAAAGAUGCUCGUUACGCGUGGCAGGACGAAAAGACCCCGGGACCUUUACUAUAGCUUGGUAUUGGUGGUCGAUUCGAUUUGUGUAGGAUAGGUGGGAGACUAUGAAGCUCGGACGCCAGUUCGGGUGGAGUCAUUGUUGAAAUACCACUCUGAUCGUAUUGGCUGUCUAACCUCGGACCGUGAUCCGGUCUAGGGACAGUGCCUGGUGGGUAGUUUAACUGGGGCGGUUGCCUCCUAAAAUGUAACGGAGGCGCUCAAAGGUUCCCUCAGCCUGGUUGGCAAUCAGGUAUCGAGUGUAAGUGCACAAGGGAGCUUGACUGUGAGACCGACAGGUCGAGCAGGGACGAAAGUCGGAACUAGUGAUCCGGCGCUUGUUUGUGGAAACGGCGUCGCUCAACGGAUAAAAGGUACCCCGGGGAUAACAGGCUGAUCUUGCCCAAGAGUCCAUAUCGACGGCAUGGUUUGGCACCUCGAUGUCGGCUCGUCGCAUCCUGGGGCUGGAGUAGGUCCCAAGGGUUGGGCUGUUCGCCCAUUAAAGCGGUACGCGAGCUGGGUUUAGAACGUCGUGAGACAGUUCGGUCCCUAUCCGCCACGCGCGUAAGAGUCUUGAGGAGACCUGUCCCUAGUACGAGAGGACCGGGAUGGACGAACCUCUGGUGUGCCAGUUGUCCUGCCAAGGGCACGGCUGGUUAGCUACGUUCGGAAGGGAUAACCGCUGAAAGCAUCUAAGCGGGAAACCCGCUCCAAGAUGAGGACUCUCUCAGGUUUACCUGGUAAGGCCCCCAGCUAGACGACUGGGUUGAUAGGCCGGAUGUGGAAGCACAGCAAUGUGUGGAGCUGACCGGUACUAAUAGGCCGAGGACUUGCC
rnacentral:rRNA from 1 species